GUAGUCCACGCCGUAAACUAUGGAUGCUAGCCGUCGGCAAGCUUGCUUGUCGGUGGCGCAGCUAACGCUUUAAGCAUCCCGCCUGGGGAGUACGGCCGCAAGGUUAAAACUCAAAUGAAUUGACGGGGGCCUGCACAAGCGGUGGAGCAUGUGGUUUAAUUCGACGCAACGCGAAGAACCUUACCAAGGCUUGACAUACGCCGGAAAGCAUCAGAGAUGGUGCCCCCCUUGUGGUCGGUGUACAGGUGGUGCAUGGCUGUCGUCAGCUCGUGUCGUGAGAUGUUGGGUUAAGUCCCGCAACGAGCGCAACCCUUGUCCUGUGUUGCCAGCAUGCCCUUCGGGGUGAUGGGGACUCACAGGAGACCGCCGGGGUCAACUCGGAGGAAGGUGGGGACGACGUCAAGUCAUCAUGCCCCUUAUGUCUUGGGCUGCGCACGUGCUACAAUGGCAGGUACAAUGAGCUGCGAAACCGUGAGGUGGAGCGAAUCUCAAAAAGCCUGUCUCAGUUCGGAUUGGGGUCUGCAACUCGACCCCAUGAAGUCGGAGUUGCUAGUAAUCGCAGAUCAGCAUUGCUGCGGUGAAUA
rnacentral:rRNA from 1 species